CCUCCGUACCUUUCACUGUGGACGCCAUGUUCUUCUUCAUCCUCUCCAUCACGCUGCUGCUGUCCUGCUCCUUCUUCAGCUCCUCCGCCAUCAGAGCCGCCUGAAACACGGAGGACCGACAAGGUUUAAAGACACGCAGCCGGCUGAGGGGGAGCCGGAGGUCAGAGGUCAGGGGUCAGCACUGACGUCGGUGAUGGCCUUCUUGGCUUUUUCCUCCACGCCGCGACUCUCCUGCGUGGCCUCGUCCACCUCCCCCGCCAGCAGGGACACGUCGGCCUCCAGCUUCUUCUUCUGGUUCGUCAGAGCCGAGUGCUGGAACACAGGCGGGCCAUUGAUCAGUUGAUCAAUAACCACUGAGGCACGUCAGCUGAUCAGUACAUCAAUACACCAAUCAGUCAAGAGGGAAAUCAGUUUAUUGAUCUAUUAUUCUGUUAAUGUCAAUCAUCAGAUCUGUCAAUCAAUUCAGAUAGUUCGUCCAUCGUCUAUUAAACACUAAUUACAGAAAUCACUCAGUGAGAGAACCAAUCAAUGUCUGGGUCGAUACAUCAGUUAAUCAAUGAAAUACUGCUUUGUGUGUGUGUGUCUGUUUGUGUAACUGCGUAUAGUUGUGUGUGUGUGUGUGUGUGUGUGUACCUGCGUGGAGAGCAGGUGCAGCCUCUCCGUCACCUCCACCACCUCGUGUUCGGCCAUCUUGCGUCCGUGGGCGGUUUGUUCUAGAACCCCGCGUAGCUCCUCCCCCUCGGCCGCCAUUAGGGAACAACGGCGCUCCAAGAGGACGGUCUGCUCUCUGAGCUGAUUGGCCGACUGGACUUUGUCCUCAAGAUCCACCUUCUGCUCGUGGAUCUAUGAGAGAACAGAAGCCAGCGAGAUGUGUUAGGACCCUCAGACCUGCAGCCGAGGCUCCAGAGCAGCGUCUCCUCCUCCAGGAGAAGGGCUUCUCCUUUCUGGAGACCCACAAUGCAUUGCUGGAUCCGUUGGAAGAAAGGUAGGCCAGAGGGAACCACAACCAGAGCUGAGAGGAGAGAGCCUGCUGCAGCAGAAAGAGGUUUUCUGAAGGGACCCUGAUGUUCAGAGACACUACCACUUUAGUCCACUGGGGGCGCCAACAUCAACACAAAGUUUGUUUUAGUAACUUUAAAUGGCUUGUAACACUUUUUCAUUUCAUACACCCAACGUUCCAAAAGAAUGCAAAUAACCAGGUUUGUUUCAUGUUCUGGAUCAAUGUUCAUCCAUUGGAUGAAAUCCACCUGAGGACAAGCUGUGGACGACCUUCUCUGGAUCCAAAACCUCCACUGCCCCGUAUCUAAAACAGCAACCAGCAAUCCAAAGGGUGACCUCCAGCAUUGUCUCCAUCCUUCCCACCCUGACGUAGAUCUGUGAGGCUACCUGUGCCUGCAGGUGUCUGAUGGUCCUCUGGCCCUCAGCUGCCUGCCUGUUGGCGUAACCCAGCUGGACCUCCAUCUCGUUCAGGUCGGACUCCAUCUUCUUCUUCACACGCACCGCUUCACUGCGACCGCGGACCUCCGCCUCCAGACUGGCCUGCAUGGUCUCCAGGCAGCGCUGGUGGCCCCGCCUGGUGGACAGAAUUGGUAUUACUCCUACGAUAAUCCGCUAAUGCAUCGUUUACUACGUAUUAUGUAAUAUGUUUCCACCACUCUGCCCUGAAUGAUAUUUCUCAUAUUUCUGGUACCUGAGGUUCUCGAUCUCGUCGUCUUUCUCUGCAAUCUUACGCUCGAUCUCAGAACGUAUCUGCUGUAGCUCCAUCUGAUAUUUCAGGGUCUUGCUCUCCUCGUGCUCCAGGGUUCCCUUAGGGCCGGAGAAUGGUUCAGUGAACACUCGGCGGACUGUUACUGAGUAUCUACACCGGAUGAGUCGCUCACCUGCGCUUCCUCCAGAGCCGCUCUGAUGUCGCUCUUCUCCACGUCCAGGAUCUUCUUGAUCCUCUCCAGCUCGUAGAUGGUCUUCACGCCCUGCCCGAUCUGAUCCGUCAGGUCCAGUAUCUCCUCUGGAGACAAACACAAGUUGCUCAAUUGAUCACAUUAUCAAUGCAAGUCUAUGAAAGUCACGUAUAGCAAGAAGCUAGGGUUCCUAACGGGGUUCUUGCCAGAGGUUCUACCCAAUUUUUUCUGAAUAACCUUUUUUCUGAAGAUAAACUAAAGAGCCUUUUCCGCCCUCCCAAAAACAUUUCUUUGAAGAACGAGUACUUCAAGGAUUGUUGAAAACGUGGGUCAAAAAAGGACCCACUGUGAUGACGCUGCACCCUAGAUAGGAUCCUUGAGGCCUGUUGUGGUGUCUAUGAGCAUCCUUGGGAAGAUAAAAUGCUCUGUACCUCCAGGGAGAAUUCCAGGUGAAACCAUUACAUCUCACACAUGGUUCUCAGUAUAACCGUUCAUAAUGGGUGUAGAAGAGAACCCUACAUGGUACCAUUUAGUGCCUCUGAGUUAUCAGAUGUUGGAAACAGUUUGACGUCAUUGAGUUUGUUCUCAGGUUCUUUGUUUUGCUUUUGAUUUGUAAAAAGAUGAAUGAAGAACAAGGUCAGAGGUUCGUUUAGAUCAUUUGGUUUCAAGUCCUUUGAGUAGAUGUGUCACUCAUUCACACCAGGAGAUGUUCCACGCUGAGAGUUAAAGACUUGACCUCAGAGGAGGUCAAAGAACCAAAGUGAUGUACGUGGCCGCUGAGGUACCUCGCAGGUUCUUGUUCUCUCGUUUCACCGUCUCCAGCUGGUCCAGCGCUUCCUCGUAGCAGGUCUUCAGCUUGAAGAGCUCGGUGCUCAGACAGCGGGACUCCCUCUGCGACGCCUCCAGGUUCGUCUGACUCUCCUCAAACUUCAGCUUCCAGUCGCCCAACAACUGCAAAACCCCCAGAGAACUUAGUGUCUAGCGACCUCGCUCCCGACCGUGUGGAGUCGCGGCCGGCGUCGCCGACCUUGUCGAAGCUGCGUUGCGUCUUGUCCAGAGCCAGAGCGGCGGCGUUGGUUCGGUCCAGCUCCACCAGCAGGUCCUCGACCUCCGUCUGCAGACACAGUCUGCUUUUCUCCAGAGAGGAACACCUGGCCUGAGACGUCUCCACGGCUUCCUCGGAGGCCUGCAGUUUGAACGCCAACUUUUUCCUACGAGACAAACGACCGGAUCAGAGCAGCUAAAAUUAGAACCACGCGCACAGAGCUGCGAAAAAUAGAAGAAAACCCCCCGAAGCGCCCCUGAAGACGUUUGUACGUCCGUGAGUUCAGAGGCACAAGGUACUGAACGGGGGUCGCGGAAUUUUUGAUUGGUAAUUUCUUUUUCCACAAAUUGAAAUGUCUUCAGAAUCAGACUUGUAUUUAUUGUCUUUAAAUACACAUUGACAUGAAUCCAACAUGUUGUGUAAAUUGAGACGUUGUCUAUCAGUCCCACAGCAGCUCUCCAGCUGGACACCGGUUCACUCACAGCUCCUCUCACGCUGAUGCGACAUCACAGGCACCAGCCAAUCAGAUCCAUUCAUGCUCACGUCUAAAGAGCCAAGCUCAACAUGUGCGGAUCAAACGUAGAAUGGGGGGUCCCUGCUCCAUCUCGCCGUCAGUUUGGGGGUCCUUGGCCUGAAAAACGUUGAAGACCUCUGCUGUAAUACAUGACGACACCACCACGUCUCACUUGGCGCCCUCCAGCUCCUCGAUCCUCAGCACGGCGUCGGUCUCGUACUUGGCCCUGUACUGGACCACCUGGCUGUUGGCCUUGGAGAGCUCCCUCUGCAGCUCGGCCUUGGCCUCCUGCUCCUCCUCCAGCUGCUCCCUGAGCAGAGCGCUGAGGUGGUGGGACGCCUGCGCGCCGUGAGCCAGCGCCACGCGUGCCUGAAACGCACACGAAGAAGACAGCCACACGCGUGAGACGCUCUCUCAGGCGACCGGGACAAGCAGAAGAGCCUUGAGAUGAGGGGCGGAGUCACAGAGGCUCGGGGUUACUUUGGUCUCCUCCUCCAGCUGCCUCUUCAGGUCUUCAGAGUUCUGGCAAAACCCGGCUUUGGAGCGCUGGAGCUGACCAAUCAGAGCGUCCCGCUCCUCCAGACGACGGCUGUACUCGGCUGCGAGAACAACACGGAGGAGGAGCUUAAAGCCUUACAGUUAUUAUUAAUAGAAAUAAUUCAUGCUUUGUGUUUGAUGAUUCCAUUAAAAGCUGGAAUAAUGAGCAUGUUCAAAAAAAUCUAUACUUACUAUAUCUAUAUCUAUAUAUGACUAUAUCUGUGUCGAUGCACGUUUGUGUGUGCACGAAUGUGUGUCUGUGUGUGUGUGUGCACGUAUGUGUUGUACCGCUUUCUGUGAGCGCUCGUGCUUUCUGAGCUGAAGCGUCGGUCAGCUGCCUCUGCAGCUCCUCCGCUCUGCUCCUGGUUUCGUUCAGCUGGUCCUCAUAAACCCUGCACAUCUUCUCCACGGCGCCCUACAAACACACACAUGCACACGCACGUGAAAGCAUCUCCAGGGCCCAUCCGUUGCUUUGGAAGUUGCUCAUUGGGACGUGAACUAAACGAGCGGGACCGUUCCCUUCAGCUCCGCCUCCCAGCCUCAUCGAGGAUAAUUAAGGAUAAUUCCACAUGCAGGAUUUGUUUCAACGCCUGAUGCGUUUCAUCUUGGGGUUUGGGCUCAGCACCAAAAACAAAAGGAUUCCAAAUUACCCAUCAUGCAAGUUGGCUCCGUGCCUGGCAAAGACUGUAGAGUGGGAGGAGGACUCGGUUCUGUUUGUGGACUGCAGUUCACAAGUCUCAAAAUGAUGAAAAAUGAAAUCGUGGCUGUCGCAAUCUUGGUUUUUUGGAGCCAGAUGUGAGCAUAUUUUGAGGAUAGAUACUCGUCAUAAUGGUGCGGUCAAUCUCAAUCACAACGUAGCCUUAAGCAUGCCCUGCUUCGUGGUCUGUUAGAGACCUGUCAAUCAGUGUGUAGCCCCGCCCUAAAGCGUCCCCUGCUUUGUCGUCUGUUUCACUCCAAAUGGACCAUAAUCUGCUAAAUAAACAUCAUCUGUAUUGAAGAAGACUUGAAACUAGAGACUGAGACCAUAAACUCAUGUUUACAAUGUUUACUGUGAUGUCGCCCCCUGCUGGUCACUACACAGAACGCAGCUUAAAGACACAUAACUAAUAUUCUUCCUCAGUGUAACGGUAUGAUUUGUGUAGUUUUCUUUUUUAAGGUGGACUCACCUUGUUCUUGGAGAGCUGCUCCACGUUUGCAGCUAAGUCCUCCGCCUCCAUCCUGAAUUCCAUCUUCUCCUUCUCCAGUUUGUACUUGGUUCGCUGCAGAGCGUCGAUCUGCUCGCCGAGCUCUGCAACCGUGUCCGAGUGCUUCUUCCUCAGCGUGGCGGCUGUGGCCUCGUGGUGAAGCCCCGCCUCCUCCAGCUCCCGUCGCAUCUUCAGGAAGUCGGCCUCCCUCUUCCUGUUAGACGUCAAGUCAGUGGUGUUGGAGGAAAGGUACUAAGCCUCAUUCACGCAGCUUUGGUGCUGCUGCUGACCUGUUGAGAGCGAUCUGAGCAGCAGAGGCUCCUCCCGCCUCCUCCAGUUUCUCCUCCAGCUCCUCCAGCUCUCUGCUGAUGUCGUUCCUCUGGCGCUCGGCUUUGGAACGCCACGCUCGCUCUGCAUCCAGCGCCUCCUCCAGCUCCUCGCUGCGGGUCUGAGGGGUCAAUGGACGACACAAGCCAGAGUGAGGAAGGGGAGAACAUCAGGGAGUUCCAUUCUGGAUCGGUGUGACCAACCUGGAGCUCUUUGAUCUUCUUCUGAAGAUGAGCAAGCUCACUCUGUUCGUCCUCCAGCUUGGACUGAAGCUGACCCGAUUCAAAGUCUUUUCUUUAGGGAGAGAGAUGGAAGGACAGAGGAGGAACGUUCUGUUAACGAUCUCGCUAAAUAAAUAAACUUCAUCUUAUUAGUGAAUUACAAGCUGCAGCCGUGCUUUCUUACUUCUUCAGCCUCUCCUCCAGCUUUGCCUUCUGGGUCUCCAAGUCCUUCACCGAGUCGAGGGAGAGCUUCAGAUCCCCCUCCAGCUUCCGUUUGAUUCGUUCCAACUCCAAUCGCACCUUCUUCUCCACCCGCAGGGAGCCCUCCGCCUGUCGAAAGGAGAGGGGUGGGGGUGGUACUUUGAUCUGACCAGAACCCUUGAGGAGGUGCUUGGAGACAUUUUGGUGAGUCUUGAGGUGCUUCAACCAGGAGGUUCUGGGGGUCAUGAAGAUGCUUUGAAUGUCACGCGGAAGUCCAAGUAACCAGAAGGAGAUUUUAGGGAUUUUUAUUAAUUAGGGGUUUCGGAAGGAUAGUUUAGGAAGCUCCUUUAUGAAAACACUACAUAGAGGAACUUCCUGUAGAAGAAUGUUGUGCAUCAGUUCACAAACUAUGAGUUGGACACCUGAAGCAGUUUCUUCUUCCAUCGGCAGAAAUGUGUGUAAACAUCGUAUUCUCCUUGGACCAUUGAGUGAGAUCUUUGCAGUGAUGGGAGGGGGAGUCGGGGGAGUUGGGGGGGGUUGUGGAGUGUGACGUGUUCAUAUGUUCUCUUACAUUGUCCGCUUGCUGCUCCAGCCGUGCUUUCACCUUGACCAGCAUGUUGACCUUGUCCUCCUGCGCCCGGAGGUCAGUCAGGGCCUGCUGGUGAGCGGCCUGCAGGGCGGCUUUCUCUCUGGUCAGAGACGCGAUGGAUUCAUCCAGAACACACAUCUCUUGGGACAGGUUCUUCACCUGGACGGCAGGGAGAAUCAUAUUUAAUACUCACCAGUCACCAGAACUGAAUCUCUCAGCCAGAGAGAAGUGAAAGCCCCCUGCAGAGAGGCAAAGACCUUGUUCUCCACUCCGUGUCUCUCCUUCUCCACUUUGGCCAGAGUCAUCUCCAGGUCGUCCACGUCUCUCUUCAGCAGCACCACCUCCUCCUCCAGGUGACGUUUCUUGGACGUGAGCGCGGUGGUCAUCUCCUCCUCGUCCUCCAGACGUUCCUGCAUCUCCUUCAGCUUUGACUCUAUGGAGAUCUUGGACUGAAUCAGCUGGUUGCAGCGCUCCUCUGCAUCCGCCAGGUUCUCCUGCUCCUGGACGAGUCAACGAAAAACCAAAAGAGGAAUCUCAGAGGAACUGAAGAGAAUAAUGAGUUUACAAGAGAAAAGCUUUCUGAAAUAAGCAUCUGACAUCAAAUCCUCUAUUUUAGAGAGAGGUUUGUCUUUUAGGAAAAUAAAUUAGCACCUUCAUAGUAAUCCUACAGAUUUAAGACUUACAGCUUGCAGCUGCAGAGCCAAGUCGUUUUUCUCCUGAACCAACACCACCUGCUGCCCCUCCGCCUCCCAACGCUUCACCUCUGACCUGAUGCAGGAAGAAACAAUCAGACGUAUGACGCCGAUCUUUGUACUUUACUUUCUGAACCAAACCCAAAUGAAAUGUGUGAGUGGUAAGGUCAAUGGGGUCAACGGGCUUAAUGCACCUGUCAAAGGCCUCUUUUAGCUUCCUGAACUCUUCUUUGAGAGCAGCCAGUUCUUUCUCCACCUGGGCGCUCCUCAGCAUGGGGCGGAUCUUAUAGAACAGCGUCAUCCAGGGCCACGUCCUCACAGUGAAGAAGGCUCUGAGGUUGAACUGGAUCACCAGAACAGCGUCCCUGAGAGGAAGGAGUGAAGCCCAAACUCACGCUCUUACCAUGAAAAACAAAUAUCAUUUCUCAUAAGUCAUGUGGUCGUCUCACUGACCUUUGAAUCGUCAUCUUCUCGCGUUGCACCCUCAUCAGCCUACCUCUGGCCAUGGACUGAAUGAUGGUGAAGAUCGCAGCCAGACGAAAGUCCCUCAUGUCCUCCAACAGACCCAACAGACCCGCCUUGAAGAACACCUGCGAGCACGGAGAAAACCUCCAUCACAUCGCUCCAACCAAAGGUCAGUGGUGUUACCAGGAGAUCCGUACAGCAUGACACCCUGAGACCCUGGUGGUAGUAUCACAGUAUCUGAGCUGGUGGUAGUAUCACAGUAUCUGAGCUGGUGGUAGUAUCACAGUAUCUGAGCUGGUGGUAGUAUCACAGUAUCUGAGCUGGUGGUAGUAUCACAGUAUCGGAGCUGGUAGUAGUAUCACAGUAUCUGAGCUGGUAGUAGUAUCACAGUAUCUGAGCUGGUGGUAGUAUCACAGUAUCUGAGCUGGUAGUGCUAUCACAGUAUCUGAGCUGGUAGUAGUAUCACAGUAUCUGAGCUGGUAGAAGUAUCACAGUAUGUGAGCUGGUGGUAGUAUGACAGUAUCUGAGUUGGUGGUACUAUCAUAGUAUCUGAGCUGGUAGUAGUAUCACAGUAUCUGAGCUGGUGGUAGUAUCACAGUAUCUGAGCUGGUGGUAGUAUCACAGUAUCUGAGCUGGUGGUAGUAUCACAGUAUCUGAGCUGGUGGUAGUAUCACAGUAUCUGAGCUGGUGGUAGUAUCACAGUAUCUGAGCCGAUAGUAGCACCACAAUAUCUGAGCCGGUAGUAGUAUCACAGUAUCUGAGCUGGUAGUAGUAUCACAGUAUCUGAGCUGGUGGUAGUAUCACAGUAUCUGAGCUGGUAGAAGUAUCACAGUAUCUGAGCUGGUAGUAGUAUCACAGUAUCUGAGCUGGUGGUAGUAUCACAGUAUCUGAGCUGGUGGUAGUAUCACAGUAUCUGAGCUGGUGGUAGUAUCACAGUAUCGGAGCUGGUAGUAGUAUCACAGUAUCUGAGCCGAGAGUAGC
ensembl:lncRNA